CCUGAGCCGAAGUUGGACGUUCAAUCAACUGAGCCACCCAGGCGCCCCUAAACCAGGAGCCUUCUUAAUAUAGAGUCCUCAUUUGGGGGAAGUUGGUGAUAUCAGAGGAGGACAUCACUUUGGAAAAUGAAUUAAAAAGAAAGAAAGAAAGAAAAUCGAGAAAGAGGAAUCCCUGAUAUUUUCAGAGGAAGAAAUACCUGAUUGCUGAAAACAGUCCAUAUCCUGAACAGUUUCCUAGAAAUGCAACUGGUUAAUUUUUAUAAGCCAUUCCAUGCAUCAAACAGCAAGUUCUGAUGCUUCCGAUUGCCCAAAGAGAGACAGAGCAUGAACGGGGG